rnacentral:rRNA from 1 species
AGAGCACUCUAAAGAGACUGCCGGUGACAAACCGGAGGGAGGUGGGGAUGACGUCAAGUCCUCAUGGCCCUUAUGGGUAGGGCUUCACACGUCAUACAAUGGUGCAUACAGAGGGUUGCCAACACGCGAGGGGGAGCUAAUCUCAGAAAAUGCAUCGUAGUCCGGAUCGUAGUCUGCAACUCGACUACGUGAAGCUGGAAUCGCUAGUAAUCGCGGAUCAGAAUGUCGCGGUGAUACGUUCCCGGGUCUUGUACACACCGCCCGUCAUACCAU